rnacentral:miRNA from 1 species
UAAUUAGGACCUCCCUGAGCGGAGU